rnacentral:lncRNA from 1 species
GCUGACUGAAUUCUACCGAUCGUGACAUGACUAAUACUAUUUGCAAUUGACGCUGACGCUAGGUAAAUAGCUAGAUUGUCAGCUAUUAAAUACCCCCAGGACUCGAGAGCAUGAAAGUAAGACAUAACAUGAUCUUGAAAAGCAUAACAAUGUUCACUUGUCAUAGUUCAUUCAUAGAGACAUUUCAUCAAACACUUGUAGG